rnacentral:tRNA from 1 species
GGGCGAUUAGCUCAGUUGGCUAGAGCGCCUCGUUGACUUCGAGGAGGUCAGUGGUUCGAGCCCACUAUCGCCCACCA